rnacentral:rRNA from 1 species
AGAAUCAACGCUGGCGGCGUGCCUAACACAUGCAAGUCGAACGCGAAAGCCCCGAAAGGGGUAAGUAGAGUGGCAAACGGGUGAGUAACACGUGGGUGACCUGCCUUCGAGCGGGGGAUAACGUCCCGAAAGGGACGCUAAUACCGCAUAACAUCCUGCCUUUGAAGAGGUGGAGAUCAAAGCUGGGGAUCGCAAGACCCGGCACUUGAAGAGGGGCCCGCGUCUGAUUAGCUAGUUGGUGGGUAAUGGCCUACAAGGCAACGAUCAGUA